AGGACAAACGCUGGCGGCGUGCAUAAAACAUGCAAGUCGGACGAGCCAAUCCCCGCAAGGGGAAAGGCUAGUGGCGAACGGCUGAGUAACACGUAGGUGAUCUGCCCUGAAGUGGGGGAUAACGACUCGAAAGAGUCGCUAAUACCGCAUGUGACCAUCGAUUCGUUUUCGAUGCUCAAAGUCGUAAGACGCUUUAGGAGGAGCCUGCGGCGGAUUAGCUAGUUGGUGAGGUAAUGGCCCACCAAGGCUUCGAUCCGUAGC
rnacentral:rRNA from 1 species